rnacentral:rRNA from 1 species
GAUGAACGCUAGCGGCAGGCCUAACACAUGCAAGUCGAGGGGCAGCACAGAAACAGCAAUGUUUUGGUGGCGACCGGCGGACGGGUGCGUAACGCGUAUGCAACCUACCUUUAACAGGGGGAUAACGGAGAGAAAUUUCCACUAAUACCCCAUAACAUCAAUCAAGGCAUCUUGAUUGGUUGAAAACUCCGGUGGUUAAAGAUGGGAAUGCGUUGUAUUAGGUAGUUGGUGAGGUAAUGGCUCACCAAGCCUACGAUACAUAGGGGGACUGAGAGGUCAGCCCCCCACACUGGUACUGAGACACGGACCAGACUCCUACGGGAGGCAGCAGUGAGGAAUAUUGGUCAAUGGGGGCAACCCUGAACCAGCCAUGCCGCGUGCAGGAAGACGGCUCUAUGAGUUGUAAACUGCUUUUAAACAGGGAUAAAGCACAGUAUGUAUACUGUGUUGAAGGUACUGUAAGAAUAAGGAUCGGCUAACUCCGUGCCAGCCGCCGCAGUAA